rnacentral:rRNA from 1 species
GAUGAACGCUGGCGGCGUGCCUAACACAUGCAAGUCGAGCGGCAGCGCGGGGUGCUUGCACCCUGUCGGCGAGCGGCGGACGGCUGAGUAACGCGUGGGAACGUGCCCCAAAGUUAGGAAUAACUGCCCGAAAGGGUAUCUAAUACCGCAUAUUAACUUCGGAUCAAAGGAUUUAUCCGCUUUGGGAGCGGCUCGCGUCGGAUUAGGUAGUUGGUGAGGUAAUGGCUCACCAAGCCGACGAUCCGUAGCUGGUCUGAGAGGAUGACCAGCCAGACUGGAACUGAGACACGGUCCAGACUCCUACGGGAGGCAGCAGUGAGGAAUCUUCCACAAUGGGCGAAAGCCUGAUGGAGCAACGCCGCGUGCAGGACGAAGGCCUUCGGGUUGUAAACUGCUUUUAUAAGUGAGGAAUAUGACGGUAACUUAUGAAUAAGGAUCGGCUAACUACGUG